rnacentral:rRNA from 1 species
UACGUAGGGGGCGAGCGUUGUCCGGAAUUAUUGGGCGUAAAGAGCUCGUAGGCGGUUUGUCGCGUCGGCUGUGAAAACUCGGGGCUCAACUCCGAGCUUGCAGUCGAUACGGGCAGGCUAGAGUUCGGCAGGGGGGACUGGAAUUCCUGGUGUAGCGGUGAAAUGCGCAGAUAUCAGGAGGAACACCGGUGGCGAAGGCGGGUCUCUGGGCCGAUACUGACGCUGAGGAGCGAAAGCGUGGGGAGCGAACAGG